AAAAAAGGAGCUGGCGCAGACUCUUGCCGUAACAAAUGCGUGUGGACCAUUCAGAUUAAGAGAGUGUUUGUUCGUACGUUGUAAAACAUUAUUGUGUGUAAAAAAGCAAGAAAGAAAAACAGCAGGUGGCAGCAAAUAGUAUAGUAGGCCUACGAAAAACGCUCACUUCAAGGAAGAAGAUGCUGCACCUCGCGUGGACGAUUACGGAUGUUGCAUGACGUUGAGUGCAUGACGCGCUCAUAGCCGAUUCAACAGAUGAAUCUGUGACCAGAAUGAAGAUUCACACAUGUUUGGAUCAACAUUAAGCUAAUGGGGACAUGAUGGAGGACAGGGUGCCAUGGCGAUGUCAUACCUCAUCCUUGGACAGGUGUUUCAGUUUGCGAAUGAGAGGAAAUGGGAUCUUUACACCCAAUUUGAAGUGAAGUGAGUGUGCAUUUACAUGGAGGAUAUCCCGUGACCCCAGCGUAAUGACUUGCAGACUACAGGUGGGCUCAGUUCUGAAUGGCACUGAUGUGUCAUAUAAACACACUCGAUCACACUUUUCUACUCUGCUACAGGCUCUGUUCAUCUCUUAAUACUACUGAUCUGUCAACAAUGAAAAUCAGUUUACUGAAUUUUUGAAAAAUGAAAAAUUGCCUCACAAAUACAGUAUAUUUCUUUUGGGUAUGCUUUAACAUGCAGCUGUAUGAUGUGGAUGUCAGUUGGAUUGAAAAAACUAAGUGGUUUUGUGGAGUUUAGUUGUGAAAGACAUGAUAAGCAGUCACUUUAUAUGACUUUAAAUCGGUUACUUUUGGCACUACUAAGAUUUGCGCGUUUGUGUGUAAUGUAUGAACAAGAUUAUGGUAUACAACUUGUCAUGUUUGGAAUGAAGAGCAUGCGUCACAAGUGGGGCUUUGCUAUCAGUUGCUUGUGUUUAGGGCUGCUGUUAACCUCUGUCAGCUUCAAAAUAAAUGUUUAAAAAU
rnacentral:lncRNA from 1 species